rnacentral:rRNA from 1 species
UGGGGAAUAUUGGACAAUGGGCGCAAGCCUGAUCCAGCCAUGCCGCGUGUGUGAAGAAGGCCUUUUGGUUGUAAAGCACUUUAAGCGAGGAGGAGGCUACUUGGAUUAAUACUCUAGGAUAGUGGACGUUACUCGCAGAAUAAGCACCGGCUAACUCUGUGCCAGCAGCCGCGGUAAUACAGAGGGUGCGAGCGUUAAUCGGAUUUACUGGGCGUAAAGCGUGCGUAGGCGGCUUCUUAAGUCGGAUGUGAAAUCCCUGAGCUUAACUUAGGAGUUGCAUUCGAUACUGGGAAGCUAGAGUAUGGGAGAAGAUGGUAGAAUUCCAGGUGUAGCGGUGAAAUGCGUAGAGAUCUGGAGGAAUACCGAUGGCGAAGGCAGCCAUCUGGCCUAAUACUGACGCUGAGGUACGAAAGCAUGGGGAGCAAACAGG